rnacentral:rRNA from 3 species
UCUGGUGACUCACCGCCGAGGUCACACCCGAUCCCAUUCCGAACUCGGAAGUUAAGCUCGGUAGGGGCAAUGGUAGUGGAAACGCAAGAGUAGCCAGUCGCCAGAA